GAUGAAGAACGCAGCGAAAUGCGAUAAGUAAUGUGAAUUGCAGAAUUCAGUGAAUCAUCGAAUCUUUGAACGCACAUUGCGCCCGCCAGUAUUCUGGCGGGCAUGCCUGUUCGAGCGUCAUUUCAACCAUCAAGCCCUGCUUGCGUUGGGGUCCUGCGGCUGCCCGCAGGCCCUGAAAACCAGUGGCGGGCUCGCUAGUCACACCGAGCGCAGUAAUACAUCUCGCUUUGGGCGUGCGGCGGGUUGUUGCCGUUAAACACCCCCUUUUUACCAAGGUUGACCUCGGAUCAGGUAGGAAUACCCGCUGAACUUAAGCAUAUCAAUAAGCGGAGGA
rnacentral:misc_RNA from 1 species